UACGUAGGGUGCAAGCGUUGUCCGGAAUUAUUGGGCGUAAAGAGCUCGUAGGCGGUUUGUCGCGUCUGCUGUGAAAACUCGGGGCUUAACUCCGGGCCUGCAGUGGGUACGGGCAGACUAGAGUGCGGUAGGGGAGACUGGAAUUCCUGGUGUAGCGGUGAAAUGCGCAGAUAUCAGGAGGAACACCGGUGGCGAAGGCGGGCUCUGGGCCGUAACUGACGCUGAGGAGCGAAAGCGUGGGGAGCGAACAGG
rnacentral:rRNA from 1 species